CCUACGGGUGGCAGCAGUGAGGAAUAUUGGUCAAUGGGCGAGAGCCUGAACCAGCCAAGUCGCGUGAAGGAUGACGGCCCUACGGGUUGUAAACUUCUUUUGUCAGGGAGCAAUUGAGUCCACGUGUGGGCUUAGCGAGAGUACCUGAAGAAAAAGCAUCGGCUAACUCCGUGCCAGCAGCCGCGGUAAUACGGAGGAUGCGAGCGUUAUCCGGAUUUAUUUGGUUUAAAGGGUGCGUAGGCGGAAUAUCAAGUCAGCGGUAAAAAUUCGGGGCUCAACCCCGUCGUGCCGUUGAAACUGGUGUUCUGGAGUGGGCGAGAGGUAUGCGGAAUGCGUGGUGUAGCGGUGAAAUGCAUAGAUAUCACGCAGAACUCCGAUUGCGAAGGCAGCAUACCGGCGCCCAACUGACGCUGAAGCACGAAAGCGUGGGUAUCGAACAGGAUUAGAUACCCGGGUAGUC
rnacentral:rRNA from 1 species